UCACCGGAACUUGUUCCGGAUGGAUGUCAAUGAUGUCAUACUUCCAAGAAAAGCUCGUACACUAUUAACACAAUAAUGACCUGUACCAUAAACCGACACAGGUAGGUAAGUAGAGCAUACUAAGGGGCGCGAGAGAACUCUCUCUAAGGAACUCGGCAAACUGGCCCCGUAACUUCGGAAGAAGGGGCGCCUGAUAAUAUCAGGUCGCAGUGACCAGGCUCAGGCGACUGUUUACCAAAAACACAGGUCUCCGCAAAGUCGUAAGACAAUAUAUGGGGGCUGACGCCUGCCCAGUGCCGGAAGGUGAAGGAAGUUGGUUAUUUUGGUUUCCAAGAGAAGCUGACGACCGAAGCCCCGGUGAACGGCGGCUGUAACUAUGACAGUCCUAAGGUAGCGAAAUUCAUUGUCGAGUAAGUUUCGACCUGCACGAAAGGCGUAACGAUCUGAGCGCUGUCUCAGAGAGAGACUCGGUGAAAUAGACUUGUCCGUGAAGAUGCGGACUACUAACAUUUGGACAGAAAGACCCUAUGAAGCUUGACUGUAUUCUGGAAUGGAAUUCGGGCUUUUCUUGCGCAGUCUAGGUGGGAGGCUUUGAGGAUUUCCUUCCGGGGAAAUCGGAGCCAUCAGUGAGAGACCACUCUGGGAAGGCUAGAAUUCUAAUGGCGAUCCUUGAAUCAGGACGCUUGACAGUUUCAGAUGGGCAGUUUUUCUGGGGCGGAAAUCUCCUAAAAAGUAACGGAGGUGCGCAAUGGUUCCCUCAGUCUGGACGGAAAUCAGACAUUGAGUGUAAAGGCAAAAGGGAGCUUGACUGUAAGACCUACAAGUCAAACAGGGGCGAAAGCCGGCCUUAGUGAUCCGACGGUGCUGUGUGGAAAGGCCGUUGCUCAACGGAUAAAAGUUACUCUAGGAUAACAGGCUAAUCUUCUCCAAGAGUUCACAUCGACGAGAAGGUUUGGCACCUCGAUGUCGGCUCAUCACAUCCUGGGGCUGUAGUAGGUCCCAAGGGUUGGGCUGUUCGCCCAUUAAAGUGGUACGUGAGCUGGGUUCAGAACGUCGUAAGACAGUUCGGUCCAUAUCCGAUGUUAGCGUUAGAAUAUUGAGGUCAGUCACUCAUAGUACGAGAGGACCUGUAGUGAUCAUGCCUAUGGUCUAUCAGUUCUUUUUCCAAAGGGAAACGCUGAGUAGCUACGCAUGGAGUGCAUAACCGCUGAAAGCAUCUAAGUGGGAAGGCCAGACCAAGAUGAGUAUUCUCCAUUAAGCCGCAGCAAGACAAGCUGAUAAAUAGGUAUCAGGUGUAAGAUCCGUAAUGGUUUGAGCCGAGAUAUACUAAAGGCAGACU
rnacentral:rRNA from 1 species